AUUGAACGCUGGCGGCAGGCCUAACACAUGCAAGUCGAACGAGUGGCGGACGGGUGAGUAAUGUCUGGGAAACUGCCCGAUGGAGGGGGAUAACUACUGGAAAAGGUAGCUAAUACCGCAUACCAUCGGAUGUGCCCAGAUGGGAUUAGCUAGUAGGUGGGGUAACGGCUCACCUAGGCGACGAUCCCUAGCUGGUCUGAGAGGAUGACCAGCCACUCGGGAGCUGAGACACGGUCCAGACUACUACGGGAGGGAGCAGUGGGUAAUAUUGCACAAUGGGCGCAAGCCUGAUGCGGCCAUGCCGCGUGUAUGAAGAAGGGCUUCGAGUUGUAAAGUACUAUCAGCGAGGAGGCGUUACUCGCAGCGGGAGCACCGGCUAGCUCCAUACCGGCAGCCGCGGUAAUAC
rnacentral:rRNA from 1 species